CAGCUUUGGAAAACACAUGCUCGCAGGGCACAGGUGAAGCUGGGGUACACAAAAACUGUAAACCCAGGUGGAAAAAGUUCAGAUGCAGAUGCGGUACCUUUUAAACACAGUUUGGUGCGUUGGCAAUGAGCGAUACAGCAGCUGGAUCGAUCACGUGACUUUGUCUUAAAGCGACCCACGCAUCGGUACAGGCUUCGCUCUGUGAGCUUGAUACAUGCGUCGGUGCGUCAGUGUUGCAGGACCCAUCACUAGUCGACCAGAAAAACAUCACAGCUGAGUCUGGACAGAACGUCACUCUGACAUGUCGAGCUUCAAACAACAUCAUAGUUGUAAAAUGGAUCAGAGCUGAUCUGAAGUCAGAUUAUGUCCUUUUUUCCCCCCGGGAUGAUCUGUUUGUUCCAGCCAACCAGCAUCAGACAGACUGUGAACGCUUACAGGCAAACAUCACACUCAUGAUCAGUGAUUCAUUUUUCUCUGAACUUUAAAUUAAAUACAUUUUACUUCAUGUAGUUGUUUGUUCUGAGUCACUUUAUAAGACCCUUUCUGACCUGUACAGUCUGUUGAUGGUGUUUGUCUCCUGCACUGUAAGUAAAGUUUCUUGACAUGAAUGUUGUUUCCUGUUGCUUCAUGAGUAAAACAGAACUGAAACAUAAUGUGAGCUGGAAUCAAUCCAUAGUUGGUUUGUGGUCAUUUUUCUUGCUUUUCACCACAAAAAAUGACCACACCGACCAGCCAAU